rnacentral:rRNA from 1 species
GCGAAACCGCGAGGUCAAGCAAAUCCCAUAAAGUUGUUCUCAGUUCGGAUUGUAGUCUGCAACUCGACUACAUGAAGCUGGAAUCGCUAGUAAUCGUAGAUCAGCAUGCUACGGUGAAUACGUUCCCGGGUCUUGUACACACCGCCCGUCACACCACGAGAGUUUGUAACACCCGAAGCCGGUGGAGUAACCUUUUAGGAGCUAGCCGUCGAAGGUGGGACAAAUGAUUGGGGUGAAGUCGUAACAAGGUAGCCGUAUCGGAAGGUGCGGCUGGAUCACCUCCUUU